GCACAGCUCUUUCCGCCAUCUUUCCGCGCCGCCACAGUGGUGCGCAUGAAUGUCCUGGCGGAUGCUCUCAAGAGCAUCAACAAUGCCGAAAAGAGAGGCAAACGCCAGGUGCUUAUUAGGCCGUGCUCCAAAGUCAUCGUCCGGUUUCUCACUGUGAUGAUGAAGCAUGGUUACAUUGGCGAAUUUGAAAUCACUGAUGACCACAGAGCUGGGAAAAUUGUUGUGAACCUCACAGGCAGGCUAAACAAGUGCGGAGUGAUCAGCCCCAGAUUUGACGUGCAACUCAAAGACCUGGAAAAAUGGCAGAAUAAUCUGCUUCCAUCCUGCCAGUUUGGUUUCAUUGUACUGACAACCUCAGCUGGCAUCAUGGACCAUGAAGAAGCAAGACGAAAACACACAGGAGGGAAAAUCCUGGGAUUCUUUUUCUAGGGAUGUAAUACAUAUAUUUACAAAUAAAAUGCCUCAUGGACAAAAAAAAAA